CAGAGAUGUAUGCUUCCAUUUUUCGAAUCAAUCAAGUAGUUUUCGAGUCUUUUUAUUAAAAACAAUCCAUAUAAUACUGAAAAUAAUAAUUUCACCCGCAAUCCAAGUUUCAAAUUGUAUUUUGAAUAGAAUAGGGCAUUCGCCUCAGAUGGUCGGAUAUACUUGGCUAAGGCACAUUAAAUAAUAUCAUAGUUUUUUUAUGGCAGUGCACAUAAUACAGACCACCUUAAGAGGCCUCAAUUUGAUAAUAAAGUUUUGUGAGGAGCGGCACUGAAAUCAAUGCCCGCAUAAUUUCCAGAGCACCCACAAAUCAUUGGCCGAGGAGCUCGCUUGAAUUUGAAUAGAGGCAACGAUGUUCUGGCCAAGGCCUAGCUAGUGCCAAGCGCUUGCCAAGCUAAUAGCCAAUUUAAAUGAGACGCGGACGAGCAGAGCCAGAGCCAAAGCCGAGUCGCAAUUGUAAUUAAAUCGGCAGACAACUCUCAGCUGCGAGGCGGCGGACGAGGAGGAUCGCAGCUACAGCCGGUUCCGGAUCGAUAUGGAAUGCUGCUGCUCCUCAUCAUCAUCGAUAUAUAUUCCCGCUGUGAAUUUGUGACAUUUUCGUAAACGAAAAAUGUCAGUUACGAUUUUUUAUUAGCCCCAGCGCUGCCCAGCGUCGAGCCGAGCCGCGUCGAGUCGAGCCGUCGCUGAUGAAGUUCACGUUGCAGCUGAGUAGCUGUGGCUAGGGCUAGGAUCUGCCGAAAGGUCUGUUCGUUACGGUACAUGGAUGGGGCCGUAAAGCUGGGCAAACUACUGUAAAAUAUAGUUCAAACUCAUUUCUAGUAAUAAUAAAUUCCACUUUGGCCGGCCAUAAAAACUCGUUCAACACAUAAAACGAACGACUCUCGGGCGUUUCUCUCUUCCCCUCGCUCUCGCUAAUAAAGUUAUUAACUGGCAUAAAA